UAAUUGAAGAGUUUGAUCAUGGCUCAGAUUGAACGCUGGCGGCAGGCCUAACACAUGCAAGUCGAGCGGCAGCGAC
rnacentral:rRNA from 1 species